rnacentral:rRNA from 1 species
CCUACGGGAGGCAGCAGUGGGGAAUAUUGGACAAUGGGCGCAAGCCUGAUCCAGCCAUGCCGCGUGAGUGAUGAAGGCCUUAGGGUUGUAAAGCUCUUUUACCGGGGACGAUAAUGACGGUACCCGGAGAAUAAGUCCCGGCUAACUUCGUGCCAGCAGCCGCGGUAAUACGAAGGGGACUAGCGUUGUUCGGAAUCACUGGGCGUAAAGCGCACGUAGGCGGAUCAUUUAGUCAGGGGUGAAAUCCCGGGGCUCAACCUCGGAACUGCCUUUGAUACUGAUGGUCUCGAGUCCGAUAGAGGUGGGUAGAAUUCCUAGUGUAGAGGUGAAAUUCGUAGAUAUUAGGAAGAAUACCGGUGGCGAAGGCGGCCCACUGGAUCGGUACUGACGCUGAGGUGCGAAAGCGUGGGGAGCAAACAGGAUUAGAUACCCCUGUAGUC